AGCUAAGUGGUUCGAGAAAGGAGAGAAAAAUUCUAGUUACUUUUUUGCUCUAGAAAAAAGAAACAGGAAAAGAAACAACAUUGUGGCUCUUAAUAUUAAUGGUAUAAUAAACUCAGACCCUGCUUUGAUUGCCAAUUAUACUACCUCAUUUUACAGUGAUUUGUAUUCUACAAAAUUUAAUCAGACUAAUUGUGACAGAUUCUUAAAUCAUACUAGGAUUACACCUCUGAUAUCGGAGGCCUUUAAAGACUCUUGUGACGCUGAGCUUUUAUUUUCAGAAAUUAUAGAUGCUUUGCAUUCAAUGAAGUUAGGAAAGUCACCUGGUAGCGACGGGCUCUCAGUAGACACUUUGUUUUUGGGAAUUUAUUGGUAGUCACCUUUUUCUGAUGUUCAAAGAAUGUAUAAGUAGGCAAGAAAUGACAACAACUAUGAAACAAGGUCUUAUAACUCUGCUCCCUAAGACAGACAAAGAUCCAUUAAAAAUAGAAAAUUGGAGACCUAUCUCGCUUUUAAAUAUUGAUUACAAAAUUUUAUCUUUGGUGUAUGCGAAAAGACUAAAAAAGGAUUUAGGUGAGAUAAGUGAAAACCAGAACGGAUCUCUUCCCAAACGUCACAUUAGCUCUAAUAUUAGACUAGUGUUGGAUCUAAUCGAUUAUUCAAACUUUAUAAACUCCAAUGCUUUGAUGAUUUUCCUUGACUUUUUUAAGGCAUUUGAUUCGAUUGAACACACCUUCAUUUUACAAGUGUCAUAGUUCUGCCUUCUCUCUGCUUCUGCUGCUAUUUUCCCUUCAUUGUUUGCAGGUGAGCGUGUUGGGAGCAGCAGCAGCAGCUGCAGCUAAUUACCAUCAGCCUGGCCAGAGGAUUUAAGGAGCGGUGCUGCCACUCCUCAACGCUGGUUGAUACUCUUCUGUUGGGUACAUCUAGCCACGUACUUAUCUGUGCCUUGACUUUAAGACUCGUUUACCUGAACUAACCCAGCUCUGCAUUCUUGUCUGUACCAGCCCUGGAUUCCCUCCACCUGCCUGAGGUGUGAUUUAUCACAGCGUCGUUCAGCUUCCCUGGCCUCCUGCUCUCCACCGCUCACCUGCCUUCCUGGAUCCAGCAUCUCCUCCAGUGACCAUCUCCUCCCUGCAUCAACUUGACUUGCCUCUCCCUCCUGCCCCUCGUCCUGCUCAACUCAAGUGGGAGUUGCCUCGUUUCCUGUCCCAUUUGGAUCAGCGCCCUCAGUUUUCGCUUUGUUUUCUUUAUAAAAUAAAGAUUUUAUUAUCAUCUCUUACCUUA